CCUACGAGUGGCAGCAGUGGGGAAUAUUGCACAAUGAGGGAAACCCUGAUGCAGCGACGCCGCGUGAGUGAAGAAGUAAUUCUUUACGUAAAGCUCUAUCAGCAGAGAAGAAACACUGACCUUACGAUCAGCAGACGGUACCUGCGUAAGAAGCCCCGGCUAACUACGUGCCAUCAGCCGCGGUAAUACGUAGGGGGCAAGCGUUAUCCUGAUUUACUGGGUGUAAAGGGAGCGUAGACGGUGCGACCAGUCUGGAGUGAAAUGCCGCAGCUUAACUGCGGUACUGCUGUGGCAACUGGCGAACUAGAGUGCGGGAGGGGUAAGCGGAAUUCCUAGUGUAGCGGUGAAAUGCGUAGAUAUUAGGAGGAACACCGGUGGCGAAGGCGGCUUACUGGACCGUAACUGACGUUGAGGCUCGAAAGCGUGGGGAGCAAACAGGAUUAGAUACCCCAGUAGUC
rnacentral:rRNA from 1 species